UCUACAAAAGCUCAGAAUUUCCCCGAAGCUGCAGCAGCCACAAGCAGCAGCUUCUUGAAGUUGCUGCAACUAAGGCCAGAACUGAACCAAACCAUGCUUGUGCUUACACAGCAUGGUCAGGAAGUUUGGAGAAUGAAACCCUUCAGUCCUGAGGUCUCCCCAGACCCACCCCGUGCCACUGCAGCCCACCUGCUUUACGUCUGUACCCUCUUCCUGACCUUGCUCAGCUUGGCCCAAGGCUCCAGAGGUUCCAUGGUACCCAACAAGCCGUUCAUCACUGUUUGGAAUGCAGACACUUACUGGUGCCUGGAGAGUCAUGGAGUGGAUGUGGAUGUCAGUGUGUUUGACGUGAUUGCCAACAAGGAGCAGAGCUUUCAAGGCCUUAACAUGACAAUUUUCUACAGCUGGCAGUUGGGCACCUACCCCUUCUAUACAUCUACUGGGGAAGCCGUAUAUGGUGGCCUGCCCCAGAAUGCUAGCCUGGUUACCCACCUCGCUCACGCAUUCCAGGACAUCAAGGCUGUCAUGCCUGAACCUGACUUCUCAGGACUGGCAGUCAUUGACUGGGAGGCAUGGCGCCCACGAUGGGCCUUCAACUGGGACAGCAAGGACAUUUAUCGACAGCGCUCAAUGGCACUUGUCCAGGCAGAACACCCUGACUGGCCGGAAACUUUAGUGGAGUCAGUAGCUCAGGACCAGUUCCAGGAAGCUGCACAGGCCUGGAUGGCAGGCACCCUCCAGCUGGGGCAGGUACUGCGUCCUCGUGGCCUCUGGGGCUACUAUGGCUUCCCUGACUGCUACAACUAUGACUUCCUAAGUUCCAAUUACACAGGCCAGUGCUCACUAAACAUCCGUGACCAGAAUGAUCAGCUAGAGUGGUUAUGGAACCAGAGCUAUGCCCUCUAUCCCAGUAUCUACUUGCCUCCAGCACUGAUGGGCACAGGGAAGGCACGGUUGUAUGUUCAACACCGUGUACAAGAGGCAUUCCGUGUAGCUAGCACUUCCAGAGACCCGAAUGUGCCCAUACUGCCCUACGUGCAGAUCUUCUAUGAAAUGACAGAUCAUCUUCUGUCCCUGGAGGAGCUGGAACAGAGCAUUGGGGAGAGCGCAGCUCAGGGAGCAGCAGGUGUGGUGGUCUGGGUGAGCUCAAAAAAUACAUCUACCAAGGAAUCAUGCCAGGUCAUUAAAGAGUAUAUGGAUUCCACACUUGGCCCUUUCAUCAUGAACGUGACCAGUGCAGCUCUUCUCUGCAGUGAAGCUCUGUGUUCUGGCCAUGGUCGCUGUGCCCGCCGUCCCAGUUAUCCCGAGGCUCUGCUCACCCUCAAUCCGGCCAGUUUUUCCAUUCAGCUAACAAGUGAUGGCAGGCCCCCAAGCCUCAAUGGUACCCUCACACUUAACGAUCGGACAGAAAUGGCUAUGAAAUUCAAGUGUCGCUGCUACCGUGGAUGGCGUGGAAAGUGGUGUGAGAAGCGGGGUGGUGACAUUCCGGGCACGGAGGACUUAGGAGGAGGUACGCCGUCUCCGGGGAAGACUGCUGUGAGUCCUCCGUACGGCUGGGACCAGCGUAGGCAAACCGAGGAAUCGGAGCCAGAGACCGCGAGAUACAGAAUCGUGCGCAGGCUGGAAGCGGACCAUCCCGGAGCUCGGCUUUAACAUUCCUUGCUUAGGAGCUGGGAGGGAACGCUGCUCCGACUGAGCUGACUGAGGCAGCCUAGCGUGGCUGUUAUCCACAGGAGGUGAAUCCGUGUAUGAGGCGAUGCCACUGCCUGGAGACUGUGGUCUUACCCUCCAGCCUGGCAGUGAGCCACCUGAAACCUAAUGGGAAGUGACCUUGGCUUCCUAUCUGCCUCAGCUGAGCCUGGAUCCUACCUGUAGGCAAGAGCUGACUCUGAGCCCUGGCCCAGCCACACUGACCCCUACCUUAGACCGGAUGGA